rnacentral:misc_RNA from 1 species
AAGUCGUAACAAGGUUUCCGUAGGUGAACCUGCGGAAGGAUCAUUAACACUUUUGAAAGCAUCCAAUAUCAACUUUUUACAACCAAACGGUCAACUAUCUCCUCCCUAUUUCGCACACCGGAGACGGUACGAGUAGGCUAACAUGUCAAUAAUUAAUUAACAAGCAAAUUGUUUGUUUGUUAGUUGGUUAUUUUCAAACACAAGAUAACCCCUUUUAAUUAUAUUAUUCAUUUAAUAUAAACGAACAACUCUUCGAUUUGCAACUUCUCUUUAAACCAGAAGAAACAAUAACGAACUAAUCUAAAAUAUACAUUCGAUAUAUUUUUAUUUUACGAAAUAAUAUAUAUUUAUAAGAACAACUCUUAGCAAUGGAUAUCUUGGUUCUC